rnacentral:rRNA from 1 species
UACGAAGGGGGCUAGCGUUGUUCGGAUUAACUGGGCGUAAAGCGCGCGUAGGCGGGUUUUUAAGUCAGGGGUGAAAUCCCAAGGCUCAACCUUGGAACUGCCUUUGAUACUGGAAAUCUUGAGUCCGGGAGAGGUGAGUGGAACUGCGAGUGUAGAGGUGAAAAUUCGUAGAUAUUCGCAAGAGCACCAGUGGCGAAGGCGGCUCACUGGCCCGGUACUGACGCUGAGGUGCGAAAGCGUGGGGAGCAAACAGG